GAUGAACGCUAGCGGCAGGCUUAAUACAUGCAAGUCGAGGGGCAGCGGGUCCCGCAGCAAUGCGGGAUGCCGGCGACCGGCGCACGGGUGCGUAACACGUAUGCAACCUACCUAUAACUGGAGAAUAGCCCGGAGAAAUCCGGAUUAACACUCCAUAUUAUCACGAAGAGGCAUCUCUUUGUGCUGAAAGCUCCGGCGGUUAUAGAUGGGCAUGCGUCCGAUUAGCUAGUUGGUGA
rnacentral:rRNA from 1 species